AAUAGGGCUGUGUUCAGCAUGCUGCAAACCCAGUUUCUCUCUCUCCCACCCAUCUCCCUCCUCCUCCUCCUGCUGCUUCUCUUCCCACCACACUAAUUCCAGAUCUGACCAUGAAUCGGUCAGGCUUCUUCCUCAGUGUCCUCAGCCUACUGGCAUGUCUUGCCUCCAUCACGCAGGCAUGUCCCCCGAGCUGCCACUGUCACGGUGGAGACCUGCAGCACGUCAUCUGCGACAACGCGGGGUUGCAGAAGAUCCCCAAGGUGCCUGAGCAAACGCGGCUUCUCAACCUGCAAAAGAACAACUUCCCGGUCCUGCCAACCAACGGCUUCCGUGACAUGAAAAAACUGGUGUCCCUGCACCUCCAGAGCUCACGGAUCAAGGAGAUCUCAACUGGAGCCUUCCGGGGGCUCAAGAGCCUGGUCUACCUCUAUCUCACUGACAACCAGAUCAGUGUCAUAAAGCCAGGAGCCUUUGAUGACCUCUCUGAGCUCACCUACCUGUAUCUGGACCAGAAUAAGAUCCCAGACCUACCCAAAGGGCUCUUCUCUCCUCUUGUCAACCUCUUCAUCCUGCACUUAGGCAGCAAUAAAAUCCAGGAGCUGAAACCAGGGGCCUUCAAUGGGGCUAAAGACCUGCGCUGGCUCUACCUCUCUGACAACUCCCUCACCAACCUCCUGCCUGGGGCCCUGGAGGAUGUAGAAAACCUCGCUGUCCUCCACCUGGACAAGAACCAGCUGAGCAGCUAUCCUGUGAGCGCAAUGAGUAAGCUGAGAGUGCUGGAGGAACUGAAGCUUUCUCAUAACCCCAUUGAGGUCAUCCCCGACAAUGCCUUCCAGUCCUUCGGGCGUUACCUGCAGACACUCAACCUGGACAACAUGAAACUGAAGAAGUUUGCAGACAACGCAUUCGCCGGUGUGACCGUGCUGAAGACCGCUCACCUGGAGAACAACCGGCUCACCCAGCUGCCCCGCAACUUCCCCUUCGACAAAAUGGAGACGCUGACGCUCUCCCGAAACGCCUGGCACUGCAACUGCCAGCUAGCACAUCUGCGCAAGUGGCUGAAGGGCAAUCGCACCCGUACUGAUGAGACCUGCUCUACGCCCGCGCAGUACCGGGGGCAAUCCAUCAGAGACACCCCGGCCCUCCGCACCUGCAAGCUCCCCACCAAGAGGUCCAAGAAGGGAAGCCACCAUUAGACACGUAAGAUGGUUCACUUUUAGUCAGACCUACAGCAAACCCUGAUGCCGCCAAAGCAGGCCCUGGUAUGGCCUGUCCUGGUGACCGGUCACUUCAACCAUCAGAAAACUACUGACUUCUGAGUCCUUCCUUAAGCUUCUCCUACCUGUCAGGAAACAUUUCUGAUAUAUCCGACCACCUCCAGCCUCCUCCAAAUCCCCGCUUCUCUGCUGAUCGCAGGAUGGAAUCCACCUUUUCAAUCUUUUCCAACAUCUAUAUAUUUUAAAAGAGGCAUUUUUAAAAACUAAACUAUGCAUGACCGUACUAAGACAAGCUAACCUAGAUCCUGCCGGUAAAACACAGUCAUCUUUCCCAGAGGCAACAUAACCCACAUCCCCGAUCAACCAGUUGGUCGCUGUCUCUCCCUUUCCAGUGGAGUGGAAGCAAGCGGGAAGGUAGGAGCAUCCCUCCCCCAGCUGCUUGAUCAGGAAAAUUGGUCUCAACCCAUGCAAAGACACUCCUCUGCCUUCCCACGGAGGGGGUCCCUGCAGGCCAGGGCUGAGGGGGAUAGGUGAAGCAAAGACCAAGAACCGGUGGCCCCGAGACCGAGCUGCCCUUUCACGCCAAAAGGCAGCAAUCUCUCUAGGUUGGCCAGAAAUCCUUUAAGUGAAGCAGUACUGGGAAACCCCAAAACUGGAGCCAUCUGAAGACUGGAUUCCCUCCCACUCUGUGGGGUCUACUAAGAUGCAUGUACAUCCGAGAGGAGAAGGUGUGCGCCGUGCAGCCUGGCUUGGGCACCCCUCCUCUUCUCUCUGCCCAUACUCCCGAGGAUCUAGCAGGACACCAGGAUGACUGUGGUUUAUUGUCAUGGCUAUUACAAUACCACAGUUGCAACUUAACUGUGUUUUUUAAUCCUAAAGAGUUAUAUAAAUAUAUGUAUAUUUAUUCCUCUGUAACUGAGUGUAAAUGACCUUUAAGAGGAUGAAAGCUCCUCUGUCUUCUAUAUAGAAAUCAAAUUGUAUAUUUUCUUAUGUACAUCUUCUGUAUAAAGCUCUUGCUGCAAAGAUGAA